rnacentral:rRNA from 1 species
GACGGACGCUGGCGGCGUGCUUAACACAUGCAAGUCGAACGGUGAAGCGCCUUCCUUUUUGGUGGGUGUGGAUGAGUGGCGAACGGGUGAGUAACACGUGAGUAACCUGCCCCCUUCUUCUGGAUAACCGCAUGAAAGUGUGGCUAAUACGGGAUAUUCUGGGUCUGUCGCAUGAUGGGUCUGGGAAAGAUAUUGUUUCGGUGGGGGAUGGGCUCGCGGCCUAUCAGCUUGUUGGUGGGGUGAUGGCCUACCAAGGCGGUGACGGGUAGCCGGCCUGAGAGGGUGGACGGUCACACUGGGACUGAGACACGGCCCAGACUCCUACGGGAGGUAGCAGUGGGGAAUAUUGCACAAUGGGCGCAAGCCUGAUGCAGCGACGCCGCGUGAGGGAUGGAGGCCUUCGGGUUGUGAACCUCUUUCGCCAGUGAAGCAGGCCUGCCUCGUUUGUGGGUGGGUUGACGGUAGCUGGAUAAGAAGCGCCGGCUAACUACGUG